GUCUAUGGCCAUGCCACCCUGAACAAGCCCGAUCCCGUCUGAUCUCGGAAGCUAAGCAAGGUCGGGCCUGGUUAGUACUUGGAUGGGAGACCACCUAGGAAGACCAGGUGCUGUAGGUG
rnacentral:rRNA from 1 species